UCUAUAAAUUUUAGAAGAAGACGAAGGUAUCAGUUCAUCAUCGUCACAGUUGAAAGAGAAAAUCUUGAGAGAGAAAGUAAAGCAAAAAUCAUAAAAAGAAAAAAAAUGGAGAUGAGUGAGAGAUCGUAAAAUUUUAGGGUUUUCGAUUUUCCCUUUUGAAGUUUUUUUUCAUUGGUUAAAAGACUUUCUCUCUUCGUCUCCGAUUUGUUGAAUUUUACCCCUUUUUAUCAGUGAAUUCAACGUGCUUCUUUUUUUAAAAGCUUCGAUUUUUUUUUCCGGUGAAUUUCUUUUCUCCGACCGCUUGUUUUGUCGGUAAUAGCGGCUGAAAAUCAACGGUUGGUCCUUUUCCGAUCAUGGGUUAUCCCAAUUUUUACCAGAAGGUCAUUUUUUGAAUCAAAAUCGGAUUUUUUCCGAUUAUAAAAUUUUUUGAGCUUUUUAGCUGUUUAUUUAAUUUAAAAAAUGGGUUUUCUUUUUUGAAGUAGAAAAUUUUGCAAUUUUUGAGCUAAGAGAAAAAGGGUCAUAAACAGUGGACUUUAAGGGGGGAAAGAACAGUGAUAUUAGAAAAAGGCUUGUUUGAUUGGAUAAAUUUCUCUCUUUUUUUUCCCCUUUUUUCAAAAAAGGAAGAAUCUGAAGAGAAAGACAAUUUGUUUGAGCUUAAUUUACAAGCUUUUGACUUUAAUUAUGAUUGAAAAAAUUGUUGGAUUCAUUUAAUAUCUUUCCAAAAUUUUGUUCUAAUUUUUGAAACUCAAUUGACCAUUUCCUAAUUGAGUGUCUAACUGCAAAACAAUGGCGUUCUAAGUUGCUCAACAUGGCAGUUUCCUUCCCUGGUUUUCCAUGGUGGUUUUGGGGUAAUAGUGGAAAUAAGGAGAAACAGCUUGUUUCAAAUGGAUCUUCCUUAAAUUCUUCUGAUUGGGGUUUAGGUUUACGAGAGCAUGAAACUGUUAAAUUCCCAACAAAAAUAGCCUCAACUAAAGGAAAACCAAAUUGGCAAGGUAAUGAAGAAAGGAGAGUGGUUGAUAAAGAAUAUGACCUUGUGAUGGUUCCAUCAGAUGGUGUGCAUUUAUCUGGAUAUGAAUCAGAUGGUCCAGAAUGGUCCAUUGGGUGGGAAGAACCACAUGGUCCUGGUUUUCAUGGUGAAGAUGAUGAUGAUGGGUUUGCUGUGUUGGUUCCAUGUUAUAGACCUGGUUGCAAAGAACUUGUUGAAAGCCCUAAUAACCAGCUCUUGAGUGCCAUCAAGAACCUCCCAACUGGGUUCUCUUCUGACUUUGAAGCCUACAUGUCAAAACCCAUUUUACUAGGGAACAUAAUGGAACAAGUGUUUAUGGAGCUUGUAUAGCUGCUUGAAUGGUCACUGCACAUAAUUUGUUGCAGCACAAGUGUUUCGAUAAAAGUACCAUGGAGGAGAGGGAAGCAACUCGGUGCAGCAAUGGUUAUCUUCCUUCCCGAACUACUGAACUGACCAAGUCACACUAGUCCGUAGGCGAAGUUUCCUAUUAUAGUAUCGGUGAAUAAUGUGUAUAUAUAUAAAAGAAGUGGCCGGUUUGAGUAGAGAUGAGGAUCUGUAUUGGCUUCUGGUUCAUCAUCCUCCCUUCUUGCUUACGUGCAGUCUCGAAAUGAUCUCCGCGGAAUUGCAAAAACACGGCGGAGAACUUUUGUUGUUCUUUUUUCUGUAAAUAAUAUUAAUGUGAAUAUGCAAGAAAUGAAGAAUCCUUGCUUCCAGCACACUGCUACUCUGUAUAAUUUUGAUCUUUACCACGCCCCCCCCCCCCAACAAAGUAUAUCUAUCAUCAUAUCAAUUUUGUAAA